AAUGAGGCUUUACCACCAGGUAGAAGCUUUUUUAAUAAACAAAGACCUGAACAUGUACAACUUCCAUUAAAAACUUAAAAUUAAACUUAGGGUAAGAGAAUAAAAACAUAUUGUCCUGCUUAAUGUUGAACAUGUUGAAAUAAAUUUUGAUUACUAUCAUGCUUAUCAUGCUUAUGGUCUAUAAAUUGUUUUUUUAAGCAAAAAAUUAAUAUACAUGUACAUGAUGUAUAUUGUACCCUGGUUAAUAGCUUAACAAUUUAAAUUCUGUCCUUAGCUGACAAGGAUAUUUUGACCAUUCUAAUCCUCCCCCUUUCUUUUUGGUAAUUAAAUGGUCCCAAGACUCACGCCAUAUAUACAUUUAAUAUAUAACUGUUGCAUGGGUUUAUUAAUGCGAUUUUAUAAUUCAAGACUGAAAUGUGAUUUAAAUUUUGAGAUAUUCAGAAAUAUC
rnacentral:lncRNA from 1 species